rnacentral:rRNA from 1 species
GAUGAACGCUGGCGGCGUGCAUAACACAUGCAAGUCGAGCGAACGGCCGGGCUGUGUCGGUCGCUGAUGGGUGAGGGCCGCGUGGGAACGAGCCGUUCUAAUCCGAAUUAGGCAAUGAAACUUCAGCUGGGACCCGAUACCUGCGAGAGCAGAAAGGUUUAUAUGUCGGAGUAGAGGCGCGAGUCUGAUUAGCUCGUUGGUGGGGUUAUGGCUCACCAAGGCGACGAUCAGUAGCUGGUCUGAGAGGAUGAUCAGGCACACUGGGACUGAGACACGGCCCAGACUCCUACGGGAGGCAGCAGUGGGGAAUUGUGCACAAUGGGGGGAACCCUGAAGCAGCCAUGCCGGGUGAGGGAUGAAGGCCUUAGGGUUGUAAAGCUCUUUUCUCCGGGACGAUAAUGACGGUACCUGAGGAAUAAGCCACGGCUAACUACGUG